rnacentral:rRNA from 1 species
GACGAACGCUGGCGGCGUGCUUAACACAUGCAAGUCGAACGGAAAGGCCCUGCUUUUGUGGGGUGCUCGAGUGGCGAACGGGUGAGUAACACGUGAGUAACCUGCCCUUGACUUUGGGAUAACUUCAGGAAACUGGGGCUAAUACCGGAUAGGAGCUCCUGCUGCAUGGUGGGGGUUGGAAAGUUUCGGCGGUUGGGGAUGGACUCGCGGCUUAUCAGCUUGUUGGUGGGGUAGUGGCUUACCAAGGCUUUGACGGGUAGCCGGCCUGGGAGGGUGACCGGCCCAAUGGGGAUGGAGAUACGGCCCAGCCUCCUAGGGGGGGCAGAGGGGGGGAAUAUUGCACAAGGGGCGGAAGCCGGAUGCAGCAACCCCGGGGGGGGGAGGCCGGCCUUCGGGUGGUAAACCUCUUUCGCCUGGGACGAAGGGGGGGUGACGGUAAUGGGUAAAGAAGCACCGGCUAACCACGU